rnacentral:rRNA from 1 species
CCACGCUGCCAAGAAAAGCGUCUAGAGAGAGAAGUAGUGCCCGUACCGCAAACCGACACAGGUAGGUGAGGAGAGAAUCCUAAGGCCGGCGGAAGAAUUACAGUUAAGGAACUCGGCAAAUUGACCCCGUAAGUUCGCGAGAAGGGGUGCCUACGAGAGUAGGCCGCAGAGAAUAGGCCCAAGCAACUGUUUAGCAAAAACACAGGUCUCUGCUAAAGCGUAAGCUGAUGUAUAGGGGCUGACGCCUGCCCGGUGCUGGAAGGUUAAGGGGAACACUUAGCGCAAGCGAAGGUGUGAACUUAAGCCCCAGUAAACGGCGGCCGUAACUAUAACGGUCCUAAGGUAGCGAAAUUCCUUGUCAGGUAAGUUCUGACCCGCACGAAUGGCGUAAUGACUUGGGCACUGUCUCAACUGUAAAUCCGGCGAAGUUGUAGUGCGAGUGAAGAUGCUCGCUACCCGCGAUUGGACGGAAAGACCCCGUAGAGCUUUACUGUAGCUUAGCAUUGAGUUUUGGUAUUGUCUGUACAGGAUAGGUGGGAGACUAGGAAACCAGGGCGUCAGCCUUGGUGGAGUCAACCUUGGGAUACCACCCUGACAGUACUGAAAUUCUAACUGGCGGCCAUGAAUCUGGUCACAGGACAUUGUUAGGUGGGCAGUUUGACUGGGGCGGUCGCCUCCUAAAAAGUAACGGAGGCGCCCAAAGGUUCCCUCAGAACGGUCGGAAAUCGUUCGAAGAGUGCAAAGGCAGAAGGGAGCCUGACUGCGACACCCACAAGUGGAGCAGGGACGAAAGUCGGGCUUAGUGAUCCGGUGGUACCUCGUGGGAGGGCCAUCGCUCAACGGAUAAAAGCUACCUCGGGGAUAACAGGCUGAUCUCCCCCAAGAGUCCACAUCGACGGGGAGGUUUGGCACCUCGAUGUCGGCUCGUCGCAUCCUGGGGCUGAAGUAGGUCCCAAGGGUUGGGCUGUUCGCCCAUUAAAGCGGCACGCGAGCUGGGUUCAGAACGUCGUGAGACAGUUCGGUCCCUAUCCGUCGCGGGCGUAGGAAAUUUGAGAGGAGCUGUCCUUAGUACGAGAGGACCGGGAUGGACUGACCUCUGGUGUACCAGUUGUUCCGCCAGGAGCACAGCUGGGUAGCUAAGUCGGGAAUGGAUAAACGCUGAAAGCAUCUAAGCGUGAAGCCAACCUCAAGAUGAGAUUUCCCAUAGCGUAAGCUAGUAAGAUCCCUUGAAGAACACAAGGUUGAUAGGUCGGGGGUGUAAGCAUGGUAACAUGUUCAGCUGACCGAUACUAAUAGAUCGAGGGCUUGACCAA